rnacentral:rRNA from 1 species
UACGUAGGGUGCAAGCGUUGUCCGGAAUUAUUGGGCGUAAAGAGCUCGUAGGCGGUUUGUCGCGUCUGCUGUGAAAACCCGAGGCUCAACCUCGGGCCUGCAGUGGGUACGGGCAGACUAGAGUGCGGUAGGGGAGAAUGGAAUUCCUGGUGUAGCGGUGGAACGCGCAGAUAUCAGGAGGAACACCGAUGGCGAAGGCAGUUCUCUGGGCCGUAACUGACGCUGAGGAGCGAAAGCGUGGGGAGCGAACAGG